rnacentral:rRNA from 1 species
UAAUACGUAGGUGGCAAGCGUUGUCCGGAUUUAUUGGGCGUAAAGCGAGCGCAGGCGGUCUUUUAAGUCUGAUGUGAAAGCCCCCGGCUUAACCGGGGAGGGUCAUUGGAAACUGGGAGACUUGAGUGCAGAAGAGGAAAGCGGAAUUCCAUGUGUAGCGGUGAAAUGCGUAGAUAUAUGGAGGAACACCAGUGGCGAAGGCGGCUUUCUGGUCUGUAACUGACGCUGAGGCUCGAAAGCGUGGGGAGCAAACAGGAUUAGAUACCCUGGUAGUCCACGCCGUAAACGAUGAGUGCUAAGUGUUGGAGGGUUUCCGCCCUUCAGUGCUGCAGCAAACGCAUUAAGCACUCCGCCUGGGGAGUACGACCGCAAGGUUGAAACUCAAAUGAAUUGACGG